rnacentral:lncRNA from 1 species
CACAGUUUCCUUUUUUUCUUUCAAGAGCACAGGACACGUGACAGGGAACAACAAAUACAAAUGAAUAAAUUCCCUUAAGGGACAGCUCAAUGAAAUUUGCUGUAAAAAAAACAACCCAAAAAUCCUAUCACCUGAUUUGAUGAAUAUUCUUUUAAUUCAGAUGUAAAGUGGAAUAUAUUCAGAUUACCAGUUGGACCAGUUUAUCUGCAUUGUUAAGGAAUGAGGUACACAGAAGAUUUUUACAUCUUACAUUUUUAUAUAUUGACAUUUACUUCUAAAGAAAAAUUGCUUUUCCUUUUGAAAUUCCACUUCUAUAAAUUUAUCCUAAAUAGUCUGCAAGAGAGUAAUGCUAAAGAAUGUUCAUCAAAAAAAGAAUAUUCAGAGUUCCCGUUGUUGUGCAACAGAAAUGAAUCUAACCAUUUAGAUUCAACUUCUAGCCAUGAAGUUGCGGGUUUGAUCCCUGGCUUCAUUCAGUGGGUUAAAAAUCUGGCCAUGAACUGUGGUGUAGGUCAAAGAUGUGGCUUGGAUCCCCCGUUGCUGUGGCUGUAGUGUAGGCCAGCAGCUCAAUACCAAUGUAGGAUCCAAGCCACAUCUGCAACCUACACCACAGCUCAUGGCAAUGCCAGAUCCUUAACCCACUGAUCGAGGUCGGGGAUCAGAUCCGCAUCCUCAUGGGUACAAGUUGAAUUAGUAACCCACUGAGCCACAACAGGACGCCACAUUUCGGUUUUUAAAAAUGUUCACUCACACUUAGUGGGGGGAAAAAAGGCCAACAUUUAUUGAACACUUACCAUUGCCAGACAGUGUUUUAAGUGCUUAGCACAUAUUAACUUCUCAAAAGAGCCCCAUGGAACAGAUGCUAUUAUUAUGCCCAUUUUAUAGAGGAAGAAACAAAUAUAAAGAGGUUAGGUUCUUCUCCAAGGUUGCUAGCAAUUGGCAGAGACAGAAUUUGUUUCCCAGCAGAUUGGUACCAAUGAAUAGAAUAGAUUGUUAAUGGUGGUUGUAUUUUAGGUGGUUGUAUUUAAGAUGGGACUUUUGUUAUAUAUUUCUAUAAGGUUUUAUUUUUUAAAAAACAAUACAUGUUACCUCUUUGGCACAAAUGAAAGAUGAAAAGAAAGUUAAAAACUGCUUUCCCACUCACUGUCUAGGGAUAGGAAAAGAGAAAAAGUGAUUUUGGUCAAGACUAGUGUGGUAUCUAUCACGACACUCCUUUUAUGAGAAAUCCUGGCUCAUUUAUUUUCUCUUCAUAGAACGCCUCCAGAGGAGCUCCUAGGGAUUCAAAAGUUGAGGACUCUUAUUAGAGUAUAAAGCUUUAUUGAUAGCUGUGCUACAUGUUUUCCAGAGAAGAAAAAAGUAACUCAGCCAUAUAGUUGAAUUUCCAUAGUUGGCUGGAGGCAGAACCUUCAUGGGACCUGUUCAUUUCAGCCGGGGCCCCCUAGCAUUGGUGUGGCAGCUAUGUGGCACCUAGGCACCUCUUGUAAGAGUCAAGGCUAUGGACAGAGCCUGUCACUGAUGCUUCCAUCCCACCAAAAGGACACUUAAAAGUGAGCCCAAGGCAGCUCAAGGCACUAAGUGAUUUUGUGUUGCUAGAUGACCAACGGUAAGACAAAGGCUAGCCAGGACCAGACCCCAUUCUUUUUUUUCCACCCCCACUUCUUAGGGCUACACCCACGCACAUGGAGGUUCCCAGGCUAGGGGUUGAAUCGGAGCUAUAGCCGCUGGCCUACACCACAGUCACAGCAACAAGGGAUCCGAGCCGUGUCUGCAACCUACACCACAGCUCACGGCAAUGCCAGAUCCUUAACACACUGAGCAGGGCCAGGGAUCGAACCCAAAACCUCAUGGUUACUAGUCGCUGCACAACAACAGGAACUCCCAGAGCCCAUUCUUUUGACUUUAAGGUGCGCCUGAAUCCUGGCCUCUCACACUGUCUAAUUGGACAUAAUGUCACUAGUUUUCUUUUUUUAAAAAUGUUCCCGUGAUAAAAGUAGUACAUGAUUAUAGAAAACAAAACUCAGUUAUAACAUUACCACCCAGAGAUAACCAGUUUUGAUAUUUUGGUAUACUUCCUUCUAGUCUUUUUCAGAAAGUUUAUAUAGACAGUAUUAUAUAUAUUUUAAAAUUUGGACCAUACUAUAUAUAUAGUUUUGCAUCUUUUUGUUUUUCUCUUAACAUUAUAUAAACAUUUUUUUUGGUCUUUGUUGUUGUUGUUGUUGUUGUUGCUAUUUCUUGGGCCACUCCCGCGGCAUAUGGAGGUUCCCAGGCUAGGGGUUGAAUCGGAGCUGUAGCCACC